GAAAUCCCAUAGGCUGCCUGCCUGCCUGCCUCACUCCCAGGCUACUGGACACUGUAGAAGUCUUUGAUUUUGGUUGUUUUCCUUCUGCCCACUCCUUGUCAUAAUCUCAUAUCCCAUCCUGGAGUGGAUGGCCUUGCUGGCCAUCACUGAAUUCACUAACCAGCCAGUGGCUGGGAGGACUGCAAAAGGUUGUGUUCCCAUGUGGCAGAUCCUUCUCAUACCACGCAUGGUGAGAGCAGAGGGCAAGAAACCAGGUGUCUCAAUGGUAGUACAUCCUUCCUGCGCAGCACUCCAGCAGGGCCUGGUGGCUUCCAUUCUUAAUGCCCCCACCUCCCAACACACACACACACACACACACACACACACACACAGAGAGAGAGAGAGAGAGAGAGCAGCCCCAAGCUACUAAAGGCUGUCUGGCUUACCACUGUGGAGUAUUGAUUACUUCUCAUUAGCUUAUCUGCCACAGUAGAGGAAUUGUCUCAGCAUUUUUUUUUUUUUUUGAAUCUGCAGGACCAGGACACUGCUUAGCCUUAGUUAAGAUGGUGCCUCAGAAGCCAGGCAGCAGUGGCACACAGCUUUAAUCCCAGUACUCGGGAGGCAGAGGCAGGUGGAUCUCUGAGUUCGAGGCCAGCCUGGUCCACAGCCAGAGCAGCCAGUUUUACACAGUACUCCUUAUAACACGAACUCCCUCUCAACAGCAAAAGGAAUUAAGGCACUGGGGCAGGGGUGGGGAGGGCAGCUCUAGAGUGCUUACCUAGCUUCUAUGACGUCCUGGGUUCAAGCCCCAGCAGGAAAGGAAAAAGUAUUUAAGAGACUUUAUUGGAAAAGAUACAGGGAGCCAAUACCAGUGAAACCCAUCUGGAAACAAAAAACAAAACCAAAGACGCUGCCUAGGAUACCAGGAGUCUACAGUCCUGUUGCCUCGCUGAGAAGAGGAAUUCUGGAACUGGGAUUUAGUUCAUAAAUUGGCUCUGUUUUGCUCCCCCCACCCCACCCCCAACUUCUCACAAGCUUUUCCUUAGCUGAGUGGUCUUAGAGCACAGGCCUUAGUGUGUCACUUAGCAACAAGAUUUUCUCGAUGCUCAGUUCUCAAAUAGUCAAGUGAGCCAUCAAUCCCCAGCCUUCCCCUCUGCUUACCUUCAGCUCCCACCAGAGCCUCCUGUUAGACAAUCGAGUGUGUGGCGGAGGGAGGGACCAAAGACGGGCGAAGUUUAAUCAUUGAACCGAGCAGCUGGAAGUAUUUAGCCCAAGCACCCACCUCCCCGCCCAAACUAGAGGCGUGCAGCACUCCGCAGACAGAGAGUGUACUGAAGACUCGGCGCUCUCGGGAACAACCGCACUUGGGAACAUGUUUGCAGUACACUUGGUGGCGUUUUACUUCACCAAGCUGAAGGAGGACCAGAUCAAGAAGGUGGACAGGUUCCUGUAUCACAUGCGGCUCUCGGAUGAGACCCUGGUGGACAUCAUGGCCCGCUUCCAGGCCGAGAUGGAGAAAGGCUUGGGGAAGGACACCAACCCCACUGCCUCUGUGAAGAUGCUGCCCACAUUCGUCAGGGCCAUUCCAGAUGGCUCAGAAAACGGGGAAUUCCUUUCCCUGGAUCUCGGAGGAUCCAAGUUUCGGGUCUUGAAGGUGCAAGUCUCCCAAGAGGGCCAGCAAAAUGUUCAGAUGGAGAGCCAGUUCUACCCAAUGCCCAAUGAAAUCACCCGUGGGAAUGGCACGGAGCUUUUUGACUACGUAGCCGACUGCCUGGCAGAUUUCAUGAAGACCAAAAAUCUGACACAUAAGAAGCUGCCUCUGGGCUUCACCUUUUCUUUUCCCUGCAGACAGAAUAAGUUGGAGGAGGGUGUUCUGCUUUCGUGGACCAAGAAGUUCAAGGCCCGGGGAGUUCAGGACACAGACGUGGUGAACCGCCUGGCCACUGCCAUGAAGAAGCACAAGGACCUGGACGUGGACAUCCUGGCUUUGGUUAACGACACUGUGGGGACCAUGAUGACUUGUGCUUAUGAUGAUCCCAACUGUGAAGUCGGCGUUAUCAUCGGAACAGGCACCAACGCGUGUUACAUGGAGGACAUGAGCAACAUCGACCUCGUGGAAGGGGACGAGGGAAGGAUGUGUAUCAACACGGAGUGGGGGGCCUUUGGGGACGAUGGGGCUUUGGAGGACAUCCGCACCGAGUUUGACAGAGAGCUGGACCUGGGCUCGCUCAACCCCGGGAAGCAGCUGUUCGAGAAGAUGAUCAGCGGGCUGUACAUGGGGGAGCUGGUCAGGCUUAUCUUGCUGAAGAUGGCCAAAGUUGGUCUCCUGUUUGGGGGUGCAAAAUCCUCUGCUCUCCAUACAAAGGGCAAGAUCGAAACACAGCACGUGGCUGCCAUGGAGAUGAGUAAAGAAGGCCUGGCCAACACUCGAGAGAUCCUGGUGGAUUUGGGCCUGGAGCCCUCUGAGUCAGACUGCAUCGCUGUCCAGCACGUGUGCACCAUCGUCUCUUUUCGCUCAGCCAAUCUCUGCGCAGCGGCUCUGGCAACCAUCCUGACUCGACUCCGAGAGAACAAGAAGCUGGCCCGGCUCCGCACCACAGUGGGCAUGGAUGGAACUCUCUACAAAACACACCCUCAGUACCCCAAACGCCUACACAAGGUGGUGAGGAGACUGGUCCCAAACUGUGAUGUCCGCUUCCUCCUGUCAGAGAGUGGAAGCACCAAGGGGGCCGCCAUGGUGACCGCAGUGGCCUCUCGGGUACAGGCCCAGCGCAAGCAGAUCGACAAGGUGCUGGCUUUGUUCCAGUUGACCCGAGAGCAACUCCUGGGUGUGCGGGACAAGAUGCGGGCUGAACUAGAGUACGGGCUGAAGAAAAAGACCCACUCUCUGGCUACCGUGAAGAUGCUUCCCACCUAUGUCUAUGGGAUGCCGGAUGGCACAGAGAAAGGAAAGUUCCUUGCCCUGGAUUUGGGGGGAACCAACUUCCGAGUCCUCCUGGUAAAGAUCAGGCGGAGGUCUGUGCGCAUGUACAACAAGAUCUUCGCCAUCCCUCUGGAGAUCAUGCAGGGCACUGGGGAGGAGCUCUUUGACCACAUCGUACAGUGCAUCGCUGACUUCCUGGACUACAUGGGCCUCAAGGGCGCCCAGCUGCCUUUGGGCUUCACCUUCUCCUUCCCCUGCAGACAGACAUGCAUCGACAAGCAGCAACAGGAACACACCAGAGUCCUGAAGACCGCGCAGAGCUGUGGAGAGCCCAUCUGGCAGGAACCAUGCUGGGAUGAUGAAGGCAAAAGCAGGCCAAGAACAUACACGGUCUACCAGUGACCAGACUCAGUGCCUAUGGGAUCUGAGGUGCUCUGUCAUUCGGAGAACGGCUGCCCAAGUGAAGUGUUCCCCUCCUUUGUUUCAGGGGACUCUAGUAGGGUGGACCAAAGGCUUCAAGGCCACCGACUGUGAAGGGGAGGACGUGGUGGACAUGCUCAGAGAAGCCAUCAAGAGGAGAAACGAGUUUGACCUGGACAUUGUUGCAAUCGUGAACGACACAGUGGGGACCAUGAUGACCUGUGGCUAUGAAGAUCCCAGGUGUGAGAUUGGCUUGAUUGCAGGGACAGGAAGCAACGUGUGCUACAUGGAGGAAAUGAGGAACAUCGAGCUGGUGGAUGGGGACGAAGGCCGGAUGUGCGUCAACACGGAGUGGGGCGGGUUUGGUGACAAUGGCUGCAUCGAUGACAUCCGCACCCAGUAUGACAAGGAGGUGGAUGAGGGCUCCCUGAACGCCGGCAAGCAGAGAUACGAGAAAAUGACCAGUGGAAUGUACCUGGGGGAGAUUGUGAGGCGGAUCCUGAUCGACCUCACCCGGCAGGGGCUCCUCUUCCGAGGGCAGAUUUCAGAGCGACUCCGGACCAGGGGCAUCUUUGAAACCAAAUUCCUGUCCCAGAUUGAAAGUGACCGGCUGGCCCUCCUGCAGGUCAGGAGGAUCCUGCAGCAGCUGGGCCUGGACAGCACGUGCGAAGACAGUAUUGUGGUGAAGGAGGUGUGUGGGGCUGUGUCUCGGAGGGCCGCCCAGAUGUGUGGUGCCGGCAUGGCUGCCAUCGUGGAGAAGAGGAGAGAAGACCAAGGCCUCCAGCACUUCAAGGUCACCGUGGGCGUGGAUGGCACACUGUACAAGCUGCACCCGCACUUCUCCCGGAUACUGCAGGAGACGGUGAAAGAGCUGGCCCCUCAGUGUGAUGUGACAUUUAUGUUGUCAGAAGACGGCAGCGGGAAGGGAGCAGCUCUGAUCACAGCUGUAGCCAAGAGGUUACAGCAGCCACGGAAGGACAUCUAGGUGGCCCAGCCGGGUGAUGACCAGGGACCACCAGACGACCUCCUGGCUCACCUUCCUCUCUCCGUACUCUAAGCAUCCUGGUGCUUGCUUGGCAGUGACACUGGGUGGCACCUCCAUUUGGCAUAUUUUAGCCAAAGAUGGGCUGACUUUCAAAAUCAAAGGAUCUGGCCCCAAAGAUCCCCCUUUUGGCAAGUCACUUGAGCUGUGAGCGUUCAGUAGUAUCAGGUCUUGGGUUGCUGGAGUGUCCCUUUCAGGCCUUAUGCUACCUCUGGUGGGAGAUUGGGUCUGAACCCUUGAGAGGGAGAAAGGCUUAGUGAACUAGGGGAUCUAGGUUAACAUGGCCUCACUUGUCAUGUUGACUUUAUAGGCACCAGGGAAGCCAGGGCAUUGGCCCCUGCAUCUCUGAGUGUGGAGGAGCCCACUGCCCUGGAGCCAGGAGGAAUCUCACCCACUCAGGGCGCUCUGUGAGCAUCUGGGGUGUCACCCCCCCAUGUUUGUAUCAUGGGGCGGGACACCAUCCCAGGUACUGUUUAUCAUUCAUGUGACACAGUAGGUGUCGCUGUUUUCUGCAUUUCUUUCAAGGACUGUUAGGUAUACAAAUAUUGUCCAUGAAUAAAAGAAACUUGAGUUUCCAGGAA